rnacentral:rRNA from 1 species
UUUCGCAAUGCCCGAAAGGGUGACGAAGCGACGCCGCGUGAGUGAGGAAGGCCUUCGGGUUGUAAAGCUCUGUCAGGAGUUAAGAAAUAUAAGUGUGCUAAUACCACAUUUAUUUGACGAAGGCUCCAAAGGAAGCCACGGCUAACUCUGUGCCAGCAGCCGCGGUAAUACAGAGGUGGCAAGCGUUGUUCGGAAUUAUUGGGCGUAAAGAGCACGUAGGUGGGUUUGUAAGUCAGAUGUGAAAGCCUUCUGUUCAACGGAAGAAUUGCAUCUGAAACUGCGAGUCUUGAGUGUAGGAGGGGAGAAUGGAACUUCUGGUGGAGCGGUGAAAUGCGUAGAUAUCAGAAGGAACGCCGGCGGCGAAAGCGAUUCUCUGGCCUAUUACUGACACUCAGUGUGCGAAAGCUGGGGGAGCAAACGGGAUUAGAUACCCCGGUAGUCCUAGCCGUAAACGAUGGGCACUAAGUAGAGGGGUUUUA